GCGGGAAUUCGAUUGAGUUUGAUCCUGGCUCAGGAUGAACGCUAGCGGCAGGCCUAACACAUGCAAGUCGAGGGGUAGAGGAAGCUUGCUUCCUUGAGACCGGCGCACGGGUGCGUAACGCGUAUGCAAUCUGCCUUGUACUGAGGGAUAGCCCAGAGAAAUUUGGAUUAAUACCUCAUAGCAUUAUGAAAUCGCAUGGUUUUAUAAUUAAAGUUCCAACGGUACAAGAUGAGCAUGCGUCCCAUUAGUUAGUUGGUAAGGUAACGGCUUACCAAGACGAUGAUGGGUAGGGGUCCUGAGAGGGAGAUCCCCCACACUGGUACUGAGACACGGACCAGACUCCUACGGGAGGCAGCAGUGAGGAAUAUUGGUCAAUGGACGCAAGUCUGAACCAGCCAUGCCGCGUGCAGGAUGAAGCAUCUAUGGUGUGUAAACUGCUUUUGUACGGGAAGAAACACUCCUACGUGUAGGAGCUUGACGGUACCGUAAGAAUAAGGAUCGGCUAACUCCGUGCCAGCAGCCGCGGUAAUACGGAGGAUCCAAGCGUUAUCCGGAAUCAUUGGGUUUAAAGGGUCCGUAGGCGGCUUUAUAAGUCAGUGGUGAAAGCCCAUCGCUUAACGAUGGAACGGCCAUUGAUACUGUAGAGCUUGAAUUACUUGGAAGUAACUAGAAUAUGUAGUGUAGCGGUGAAAUGCUUAGAUAUUACAUGGAAUACCAAUUGCGAAGGCAG
rnacentral:rRNA from 1 species